rnacentral:misc_RNA from 1 species
AAAGUCGUAACAAGGUUUCCGUAGGUGAACCUGCGGAAGGAUCAUUAAAAUGGUAGGGUCCCAAGGGGCCAGCCCAGUGAAAAUUACCGGCUCCCGAGGCUCAGCCUCCAGGCCAAGCCCCCCAGCAAAUGGGGGGCAAUCUGUCGGCAAUCCGCGGACCAACCACAUGUUGGUCCGCAUGUGGUUGCUAGCAGGUUUAACCCACCGUGAAAUUCCCUUGUUGCUUUGGCAGCGCCUCCCCGUCCAUCGGGGAGGGUCAGCCUGUCGGGAGCACAGCAGGAAACCCUUUCAUGAAUCAGCAGUAAAACGUCUGAGAGCGCAGUCGAAUGACAUAUAAAACUUUCAACAACGGAUCUCUUGGUUCCC